GGGGAUAUAACUCAGGGGUAGAGUGUGUGCUUAGCAUGCACAAGGUCCUGGGUUCAAUCCCCAGUACCGCCA
rnacentral:tRNA from 1 species